ACGAUGUUCCGCUGUGUGAGGUUAUUCGCUCAUGAGCAUCUG
rfam:Bacillus glycinifermentans strain GO-13 contig_22, whole genome shotgun sequence.